rnacentral:rRNA from 1 species
AGUGAACGCUGGCGGUAGGCCUAACACAUGCAAGUCGAACGGCAGCACAGUAAGAGCUUGCUCUUACGGGUGGCGAGUGGCGGACGGGUGAGGAAUACAUCGGAAUCUACUUUUUCGUGGGGGAUAACGUAGGGAAACUUACGCUAAUACCGCAUACGACCUACGGGUGAAAGCAGGGGAUCUUCGGACCUUGCGCGAUUGAAUGAGCCGAUGUCGGAUUAGCUAGUUGGCGGGGUAAAGGCCCACCAAGGCGACGAUCCGUAGCUGGUCUGAGAGGAUGUGAACAGCCACAGGAGAUGAGACACGGGCUCGAGACCUAGGGGAGGGGCAGGAGGGGGAAAUUGGGCAAAAGGCGCAAACCUGUGACACACACACAGCGUGGGGGAGGAAGGCGUUCGGGUUGUGAAGACCUUUUGUGUGGAAAGAAAAGAAGAGGGUGAAAACACCGCGGUGCUGACGGUACACAAAAAAUAAGAACAGGCUAACUUCGUG